rnacentral:rRNA from 1 species
CAAUAGCGUAUAUUAAAGUUGUUGCAGUUAAAAAGCUCGUAGUUGGAUCUCAGGAGGACUUCAGUUGGUCGGCCUAACUGGUCAGAACCGUCUGUCUCUUCCUUGUUUCUGAAUCCCGCCCGGAGUUAAUUCUUCGGGAUGUGGAGUUCACAUCGUUUACCUUGAAAAAAUUAGAGUGUUCAAAGCAGGCGUUUGCUUGAAUAUAUUAGCAUGGAAUAAUGGAAUAGGACCCUGGUUCUAUUUUGUUGGUUUUGAGAACCAGAGUAAUGAUUAAUAGGGAUAGUUGGGGGCAUUCAUAUUUCAUUGUCAGAGGUGAAAAUUCUU